UGCGAGCUCCGCCCCUCUAGGGUUCGUCUCGCUUUCGCUGGUUAGGGUUUCCCCCCCUUGGUCCGGCCGGCGUCCCCUCUGCUGCGGGGUGCGGACGGACGCUGGGGAGCAGGGCCGCCCGGGGCCUCGCUGCCCAAUGGCUCCCGCCGCUAAGCGGGGAGCCAAGGGCCAAAAGAAGUGGACCAGAGACCCGCAGCUCGGCGACCUCGUCCUCGCCAAGAUCAAGGGCUUCCCUGCCUGGCCCGCCAAGGUGAGCAGGCCGGAGGACUGGGACCACGUGCCGACGCCACGCAAGUUCUUUGUCGUCUUCUUCGGCACCAAAGAGAUUGCUUUCGUAGCUUUGCCAGACCUUGUGCCAUUUACAGAAGAGGUGAAGAAUGAUCUGGUAGAUCGAGCUCGGGAGAAGCGUUUCCCAAAAAGACAUAUGAAAAGUAUGGAUGAAGCAGUCGUGCAGAUAUGCAAGGCCUAUGAUGAGCUGCCAAAAUCAUCUGGACCUGCCAAUGGUCUGUUACCUGAUGAAACUCUUGAUCUGAUUGAAAAAGCUACAGAGCACCUUGUGAAGUUGCCUGAUGAUGGCGAGACUCCAAAACUGGGACAAAUGGAAGGUUAUAGUUCUGUUGGCAACUUGAAUACUGUAGUGCAUGGUUCGGGAACUGAGGGGGAUAUGAAAGGUGGCCAUGACAGAAAGGAUUCUUUUCCAACAGCUUCUAAAAGGAAAAAACCUGCAGGAAAGGAUUCUGACCAUCCCAAGAAAAAGAAGUCUAUCACGUCCAAGCCAGCUAUCAACAUGCGCCUUGAACAAGAGCGGUCACCAACCUCUCUGAGGCCAGAAGGAGAGGCUGAAGACCAACAAGAUGGAAAAGAGUGCCACCCAACUGAAGCUUUAAUUUUGGAUCCUACAGUAGAUGUAAUCUGUGCUCUUGAAGUGCCAAAGAAAUAUAAUUCUGAGAAGCAGUUGAAGAAUUCUGAAAGGAAUGAACUCAAGCGUGUUGAUGUCGCUGGUAUGUCUGGGAUGACUUCUCCUAAGGCUCUAACUGAUACUGUACCAAGCAAUAGUGCUGACAAAGAGAGCAAAGGAUUCAAGAAGUCAAAAAUGGUGAUGAAACAAUCACUUACCAACAAAUCAGAGAGAAGGGAUUAUGACAAAAUAAUGCUUGACAAGCCUAACAAGCGGUUGAGUGGAAAAUCACCUGAUGCCUUUUCUUCCGAUAAGAAACCUCUGCCCGGUAGUGUGCAGUGCAAGCCAGAGGGUAGCAUGGACAUGCGUCUGGCAAAGAAGCCAAAACUGAUGGACAAAGCCAAUGAAACAGUCAAGACAGGGGCAAAGAAUGAGCAUAAGUUACCUGUUGAUAAUGAAAAGGAUAAGGCUGUGAAAAGUGAGAAAUCCACUUCGAUGGGAGCUGGAAACAGCACAGUUCCUGAGAUUGUAACCGGUGAUGAUAGGAAACGGAAAUCAGGUAUAGUUCUAUCACCCCUACCAAGAUCGCAUUCUGAUGGAUUGGAACAUGCACCUGGUUCCGCAACCAAGUUAAGUGUUCUUGGUGCUGCUAAGAAGGGCUCCAGCAUGAGGGAGGAUGGCUUACGUGGAAGGCCAUUGGCAAAACCCAGGAGAAGAGCGUGCCGUUUUGAUGAAGACGAGGAGGAAGAACAGCGGACACCACCUCAUAAAACUGUAGCCAAAACAAUCUCCACGCAUGUAGCCCCAACAGAGAAGACAGGUAUUCGGAGGAUUCCUUCAUCACAAGUUGGGAAUGUUUCUGCAAGAAUGUCUGGUUUGGCAAGAAAAGAGAAUCCUAGAAGUGUUGGGAUGUCACCUGUGAAGCAUGAGCCGUUAUAUUCACCAAGUCAAGAAAAAGUGCAUAUUAGACCACAGAUGAUGGGGAGAAAAUCGGAUACCAGCUCACUAGAUUCCAUUGCUGCUUUGGGUAACAAGAUUAACCUGGCAGAUCGCAAAUCCUCUGGACAAGUAAGAAUGCCAGCAUCAUCUGAAGUGAAGAAAAUGCCAGCAUCAUCUGAAGUGAAGAAACCACAAGUUAGUUCUUCUAAAGUAUUGCACCAGACAUCUGGUAACUCCCAUUCUCAAAGCCAGGCCGCAUUAGAAAAGGAUGUGCUUCUCUCUAAACCAGAAAAUGCGAAGGCUAAACCUAAACCUAGCACACAAGUAGCUACAUCGGUCGAGAAUAGGUUAAGUGCCAGUUUGUCAGGUGAACGAAUUGGGAAGCUAGAUCACUCGAAUGAGGACAGAUCAAAUUUUGAUGAUAGAGCCGAUUUUGCCGAACCUAAUCCUGAUUCUGUCAAGUCAAUGAAGCAUCUUAUUGCAGCUGCUCAAGCAAGGAGAAACCUUCUUGCGUCUGCUCAAGGAAAUUCUGAUGGGACUUCUGCAGAUAAUGCUGUUCUUGCCUCCACACCAUAUGGCUUGCGUGGACUAAGUCCUAGUCCUGUUUUUAACACUCGAUCUGCAUCUGGAAUUGUUAUAUCAGAGAGUGACCAAUUUCAAGACUCCAUCUGUGAACCUGGUCAGCGAGUUGAUAUGGAAAAGCCAGCAGAAAUUGACCGCGAACAUGGAAAGAGUCCAAAACCUAAGCAAUCCAGUACCAGCGGUUUACUGAGUGGUGGUACAGAUGCCGCAAUUGCACGUGAUGCCCUUGAGGGAAUGAUAGAGACACUAUCGAGGACAAAGGAUAGUAUAGGUCGUGCUACACGUCAUGCAAUCGAGUGCGCGAAACGUGGCAUUGCUGAUGAGAUUGUCGAGCUUCUCAUAAGGAAAUUAGAGAGUGAGGCUAAUUUGCAUCGCAGAGUUGAUCUCCUUUUUCUUUUGGACUCCAUAACACAGUGUUCCCACGCUCAGAAAGGUGUUGCUGGGUCUUCAUAUGUUCCCAUUGUUCAAGCUGCAUUACCUCGUAUUUUGAGUGCUGCCGCUCCACCUUUAGCCGGUGCUCGUGAAAACCGACGCCAGUGCCUCAAAGUUUUAAGAUUGUGGCUACAGAGAAAGAUUAUGCCAGAAGAUGUACUCCGUAGAUACAUGGUUGACAUUGAGGUGCCAAAUGAUGAUACAAGCACAGGUGUUCUGCUGAGGCGACCAUCCCGAGCUGAACGUUCUGUAGACGAUCCUAUUAGGGAGAUGGAAGACAUGCUUGUUGAUGAGUAUGGAAGCAACACGACCUUUGAGUUCUCUGGUAUUUUAUCAGCAACUGUCUUUGAAACUCAUGAAGAUUUACCUCGAGUUAAUGGAUCAUCGCCGCUUAUUUCACUGCAAGUUGAAAGGUCUGGGAUGCCAGAAAACAAAGAAAUUAUUGCUCCAGAUUCUGUUGAGGAACACAUGAUGGUGCUAGAGAGUGUAACUAGUGAUGCUGUAAUGCAAGAUGCUUUCGUUUUACCAAGCAACAUGCAACAGACAGAUGGAGCUGUCUUCAUUGAACAUGAUUUAAGGCAGGAAGUUUGUUCAGAAGAGGCAUUGACUAAUCACCAUGAGCUUCCCCCUCUACCUGAGGGCCCUCCACCACUUCCAUUUGAUUCACCACCUCCACCACCUCUACCCGAGGGCCCUCCACCACUUCCAUUGGAAUCACCACCCCCCCCACCCCCUUUGCCCCCUUCUCCACCCCCCGCUACACCACCACCGCCACCGCUGCCGCUUUCACCAUCUUCGCCACCUCCGCCGCCACCCCUACCACUGCCAUCUGGGCUACCUCCACACCCUGCUCCACCACAUCCUCAUCCUUGUAUCCCACCACCUGUUCCGCCAUCUCCAUCAUCAUUGGGUUAUCAGCCUGCUGUGUCAGAAUAUUUCAGGACUCCCAAUGGUAACCAACUAACCCAAGUUGUGGGAAAUUCAUCAAUUCAAGGUAUUGGAAGUACGGCAAACUUCAUUCCUGGUGGACCAGUGAAUGCACAAGCUUCAGUCAAUUUCGUCCCAUCAAUGCCACCUGAUUAUGGAAGUAAUAAUGGCUUUAUGGCACAACAAGCUUCUAACGGUAAUUAUCAGUUUCGGCCUGGUGUACCUUUUCAUCAAGGGACUUUCAGUGCUUUCCCUUCGACACAAACACCACCCGUUCAUCCCCACAAUCAUCACACACACAUGAACCCCAUGGGACAACAACCUGUACCACCUUCGUGCAAUUCUUAUGUUGUACAGUCCUUCCCAAAUAGUCAAAGCCAGUAUACAUCUGAAGAACAGUGGCGAAUGACAUCUGGUAACUUCAGUCCAGAUGACCACCACAAUGCUUGGUUACCAGGUGGCAGGCCAUUAUCCUGCUCAGACGGUUCAUUCAUGCAGGAUGGAUAUCCAAGGUCCAACAUUGAGAGAUCUUCAAUGGAUCCGAUGAGUCAUCAGUAUCCUGUACUCAACCAUUUGCCAUCUGGAGCACCGCUUCCAGGCCAUGUUGUUCCCCAGAUGCUGCCAGCCCGGCCUGAUAUCCAUGUUCUUAAUUGCUGGAGGCCUUCUGGGUGAACUUGUAUAAAUAACUCCUUCCUUGCGGUUUUCACAUAGGGAAAUCGGGGCACUGGAAGCCAUUUCAAAUCAGGAUGCAACAAGAGGUGCUUAUGUUAGUCUGUUUUGCAACGAGGAUGCAAAUUUGCCUGGGGAGUAACGAUGGAUCUGACGUUAGUAAUUGGACUGAACAUUUUACAUUGUCUGAAGUGGUGGCUAUGGAUUAUGAUCUUUUUGGUGACGGCUGUUGGUGGCUUUGAUGAAGUUGAGACGGGGAGCUUAUGUGGUGAGUUGAGUCGAGUGUUUCUUUUCUUUUUUGGCCGGGAUGUUAAAAAAAGAGUUGCUUCAUUUGAAAACUCGAUGAAGAAUUGUAAAAAAAAAAGAGGUGCUCCAUGUAUAGUGUUUUUGGCAACUUGAAAAUACACUGGAUGUACAGUGGAUAUAAGUAUACCAUACUAUUAUUAUGGGUACUAAUCAGCUAGGGAUGAUACAUUUUUUGGUUGGGCAAAAAUGAAAGGAAGAAUUUAAGGCUGCGAUGACGAUGAUGAGUUGAAUGAGCACUCUUGUUAUUCUAAUCUCUGGAAAAGAGAGAAAACAAAAGCAGGUUACUCAACA